GUGAGGAAUAUUGGUCAAUGGACGGAAGUCUGAACCAGCCAAGUAGCGUGCAGGAUGACGGCCCUAUGGGUUGUAAACUGCUUUUAUGCGGGGGUAAAGUGAGUGACGUGUCAUUCAUUGCAAGUACCGCAAGAAUAAGGACCGACUAAUUCCGUGCCAGCAGCCGCGGUAAUACGGAAGGUCCUGGUGUUAUCCGGAUUUAUUGGGUUUAAAGGGAGCGUAGGCCGUCAGGCAAGCGUGUUGUGAAAUGUCGUGGCUCAACCAUGGACUUGCAGCGCGAACUGCCCGACUUGAGUGCGCGGAAAGCAGGCGGAAUUUGUGGUGUAGCGGUGAAAUGCUUAGAUAUCACGAAGAACCCCGAUUGCGAAGGCAGCCUGCUGUAGCGCUACUGACGCUGAAGCUCGAAAGUGCGGGUAUCGAACAGGAUUAGAAACCCUAGUAGUCC
rnacentral:rRNA from 1 species